rnacentral:lncRNA from 1 species
CCCAAUAAAAAAUUAUAAAUUCAUUAAAAAAGCAUUAUAACCCAAUACCGAUAAAUCAAUAACAUGUUUAUUGGUUUGAUUUAUCGAUUUUUGCAUAACCCUACAUCAAACUAAAGUUUAUGCUGGGGAGAUAUUUCCUUUUUUUCAAUCCUAUGAUGCUGCACCAAAUUUGGUUGACCAAAAUAAUUUUUGGUAUUGUCAAGAGCAGAGGCUAUUUUAUCUGGAGGUGGCCAUUCCAUUUUGACGUAGUGAUUCCACCCUCCUUCAAGAUUAUCCUGGAUUCUAGUAAUAUCAGCAUGGAUAAGUUGAAUAGGAGUAUCCCAAAUAGAGAAAGUAAACUGACUACCAUCACUGAACCCAUUGAUGUAGAAUUCAGUGACCUCUCUUUGCAAGCUUGCGUUGUACAUCUUAUUGAAGAAACAAGUUAGACCACCCUUGAUAUGCUAACUUAGUGAGCAAUAUUGACAUCUUAGGACCACCAAAACCAGUGACAACUCGAUCCCUGACCAUUGAUUGCUUCUGAAACUUAAUAAUGUUAGAGAGUUGAGAAGCGGGAGACACAGCGGUAGGAAUUUGAUCAGGUUAGGAAACAUUAUAUUAGUUGACUCAGCUUCAGAGUAAACAGAAGAAGCAGGUCAUACAACCUUUUUCUUUUAAGAAAAUUUUGAUUUUGAAGGAGCUGGAGAUUUAGGAGAUAAUCUGAACGAAACUUUGGAUCAUUAUUUAAAAGCAGGUUUAGGAAUGGGACAGGCAACACUUAGAUCUUUGUUUACUCGAUUAAUCAGUAACUCCUCCUCAGUAGGAGCAACUGGAGGUGAUACAGAAGUAGGAGAUGAGAAGACCUGGAUUUUUUUUUUAGUUGCUAAGGCAACCUCAAGAUUUGCAUCCUCUUGUGUAUGUUUGGAUCUAGUAUGAACCAUUCUAGAGGAAGUAGGAGCAGGGGAGGGAUAAGGAACACUUCUAUCUUUAGGAAUAGGAAUAGAUUCACCA